CCUACGGGUGGCUGCAGUGGGGAAUAUUGGACAAUGGGCGAAAGCCUGAUCCAGCCAUGCCGCGUGUGUGAAGAAGGCCUUCGGGUUGUAAAGCACUUUCAGUGGGGAAGAAAGCCUUGGGGCUAAUACCCUCGAGGAAGGACAUCACCCACAGAAGAAGCACCGGCUAACUCCGUGCCAGCAGCCGCGGUAAUACGGAGGGUGCGAGCGUUAAUCGGAAUUACUGGGCGUAAAGCGCGCGUAGGCGGUCUGAUAAGCCGGUUGUGAAAGCCCCGGGCUCAACCUGGGAACGGCAUCCGGAACUGUCAGGCUAGAGUGCAGGAGAGGAAGGUAGAAUUCCCGGUGUAGCGGUGAAAUGCGUAGAGAUCGGGAGGAAUACUAGUGGCGAAGGCGGCCUUCUGGACUGACACUGACGCUGAGGUGCGAAAGCGUGGGUAGCAAACAGGAUUAGAUACCCCGUAGUC
rnacentral:rRNA from 1 species